CUCCAUCUCCUCUGCCCUCUACUGUAGUUCAACCUUCUGCUGCUCCAUGUAUUCACCAAAACCCUAGAAGUGCCAUCUCCUCCCAUUAGCUCAUCUUCUCAAAUCCCAAGCCCGGCCAUGGAAACCUCUGGUUCUUCGUUGUGGCUGUCGUCAUCAUCCUUGACGUAUUCUUCUAUCUUUCGACUGUCACAAGAGGCUCCAGAAAGAAAGGGUAUGGGAUUGUGAUUGAUGCCAGAAGCACCAGGAUGCAAAUCCAUGUUUUUGAGUUCUCGAUGAGAAGAGGAUUACAUAUUCCGAAGUUUCGGUAUGGGGGGAUCCGCGACAAUGAAGAUGAAUCCCGAUCUGUCGGACUUUGUUGCAGAUCCCAGCAGCGCCUGUUUAUAUAUUCGAAAUUAUUAUCUGUAGUUUAACUUGCGUUUGGAAUUUUGUUUCUGUACUUGAUUAUUUCAUUGCUUCAUGUAUGUUUAACAAGUUAAUAAUUUCAACAGUUAAAUAACUGAUUAGAUUUUUUUGUCCAUUCAAAACAUUGGAACUGAUGGUUCUUUCAUUUCAGCCAACUGAGAGGAUCACUAUUCUGUCUACCUACUUUUACGGUGAGGAUCAAACCACCGAAGAUCCCAUAAGUUUAUGAUGUGCUCCAUAUUUCUUGUUCUUUUCAUUUAUUUCCAUGAAUAAUGUGAUAGAAUUCACAAUAUCUUCCUACCAAUGGUGUUUUGGGAUUUGAGUGUAUUCCAAAUCCCCAAUUUGCAGGGUUUUUGAAAUGCAAAUUUAAGGUGAAGACUCUUUUUUGCAAUGUGCUCUGUUCCAAUCCUUUUGUCCAGUCCUGGACUGCCAUUGCUGCCUGCUGCAACUUGUUUCUGCAAGUGUCAGAUGUGUCUUUGAUUUUGGCAGCAUUAGCCCAAUGAUGUCAUUAGAGCAUUUAAGUGUGAUUUUCUAUUUAUGUGGUAGAACUGAUUGUGCCAAAAGCUUGCUGGAUUGUGAUUGUCAUUACCUUUUGGUUGUCUUUAAUGGUGUGAUGCUGGUGGUUGAUUUAUCUAUGUUGUUCAUUAGAAAGAUGCAGAAGUGCUGAAAGAUGCAAAGGCCUUGGUUGACGGAAAUUUGAACCUAGUGGAGGAAAGCAUUUGGCCAAUGCUAGCUACAGAAAGUGAAGGCUCUAGGUGGACUUGGCCUACUUUCCCUUGGAGGAAAAUACCUACUCAGGCAUAUCUUUGAAGAGGAAGAGGCUCUCAUUUCAGCUCAUAGAAAAGAAAUUGAAGAGACGAUGGAGAUUGUGUGGGAAGUAAGUCUGUCCUUUGGCGCUCUGCUACCUUUUUAGUUCAAAAUCACCAUAUGUUUCUCAAUUACUAAUGAUGCAUGACUUGUGGAUUCUAACAUAUAUUAUUGAUCGCGAUUGAUUUUCCUUCCAUCCUCAUUGCUUGCAGAAUGAUUGCUUUCCAACUGAUCUACUUUUGUGGCUGGAAUGCUUUUAUGAUUUCCAUGAGCAAUGCUCCUCAUGAAAGUGUCCUUUUUACUAACUGUACUGUUUUGCUGACUGCAUUAGUAUACAAACUAUAUUUGAUCAUGGUGUUUCUCUUAUCUAGAAUGUUUAUG